rnacentral:rRNA from 1 species
AUGCUGGGGCAUCUAGUCGGGCUGGUGAAGGUGCGGGUGACGCGCGGGGUGAACCUCGCCAUCCGCGACCUCCGCUCCAGCGACCCCUACGUCGUCGUCCGCAUGGGCAAGCAGAAGCUGAAGACGCGAGUUGUAAGGAAGAGUAUCAAUCCGGAGUGGAACGAUGAACUGACCCUCUCCAUCGAAGAUCCUACCAUUCCUGUCAAACUGGACGUGUUCGACAAGGACACAUUCUUCGACGACCCGAUGGGCAACGCGGAGCUGGACAUCGGCCCGCUGGUGGAGGCCGCGAGGAUGAGGGUCCAGCUGCAGGGCGUCGCUGACAACACCGUGGUGAAGAAGCUGGUGCCCAACCGGCAGAACUGCCUCGCCGAGCAGAGCGCCAUCUACCUGUCCGAGGGCACGGUGAAGCAGGACGUGGUGCUCAGGCUGAGGAACGUCGAGUGCGGGGAGGUCGAGCUCCAGCUCCAGUGGAUCGACAUCCCCGGCUCCAAGGGCGUAUCAGGCUUUUAA